AGGCGCGGGCGCGACGGGGCGGGGCGUCGUGAGGGGCUGGCCGGGCUGGAUCACGCCCCCUCCCGGCCCUUUUGGGCCCUACGGGAUGUGGCACCCACGCUGUGACGGCUUCCCGCCGGGGGAACGAGUUUGCUUUUACAGACUUCUGAGGGCUUCUAGUUUCAGCUCCAACAUGUAAAGAACUUGAAAGUCAUCACUCCCAUCCUUACAACAAGAACAAAGCUGAACAAACUUAAGCAUCAAUGACUUUUCUUGGACUUAUCAGGGAAUUGAGGUUGCAGGCAAACUGCCCUCCAAAAUCUGGAGAGACCAGUAAAUACAAAGAAUCACAGCCAACAUCAGCUUACCUGAAACAGAAGCCUCUGGAACAUCUGAAGCUGCUGACAGCCCUAAUGAGGUUGCAGCCGCGCCCAGCAUCAACUGUGAAGAUACCUCCAGAUGAUUCCAAACCCCUAGAUGAGGCCCCAGAUGUCAGAGAGCAGAAACAAGCCUCCCUGCAGAUGCGGAACUCGGUACUUAACCCUUCCCAGCGUCUUUCCCCAUUUUCAGACGUGGAUGACGACACCAUCUCAGAAGUAGUUAACACACACUAAAGAGCAAUGCUGUUAGAAGAGCAGAGAAACUUUGGAAAACUCUGCUGUCUGAAAUGAAAGCAAGGCACUCUCCAUUAACAGCUGGUGGAUUCCUGAUUUCUGCCCACAGAAGGCAUGUUCAC